GGUUAAGUUAGAAAGGGCGCACGGUGGAUGCCUUGGCACUAGGAGCCGAUGAAGGACGGGACGAACACCGAUAUGCUUCGGGGAGCUGUAAGCAAGCUUUGAUCCGGAGAUUUCCGAAUGGGGAAACCCACCACUCGUAAUGGAGUGGUAUCCAUAUCUGAAUUCAUAGGAUAUGAGAAGGCAGACCCGGGGAACUGAAACAUCUAAGUACCCGGAGGAAGAGAAAGCAAAUGCGAUUCCCUGAGUAGCGGCGAGCGAAACGGGAUUAGCCCAAACCAAGAGGCUUGCCUCUUGGGGUUGUAGGACACUCUGUACGGAGUUACAAAAGAACGAGGUAGAUGAAGAGGUCUGGAAAGGCCCGCCAUAGGAGGUAACAGCCCUGUAGUCAAAACUUCGUUCUCUCCUGAGUGGAUCCUGAGUACGGCGGAACACGUGAAAUUCCGUCGGAAUCCGGGAGGACCAUCUCCCAAGGCUAAAUACUCCCUAGUGACCGAUAGUGAACCAGUACCGUGAGGGAAAGGUGAAAAGCACCCCGGAAGGGGAGUGAAAGAGAUCCUGAAACCGUGUGCCUACAAGUAGUCAGAGCCCGUUAACGGGUGAUGGCGUGCCUUUUGUAGAAUGAACCGGCGAGUUACGAUCCCGUGCAAGGUUAAGCAGAAGAUGCGGAGCCGCAGCGAAAGCGAGUCUGAAUAGGGCGCAUGAGUACGUGGUCGUAGACCCGAAACCAGGUGAUCUACCCAUGUCCAGGGUGAAGUUCAGGUAACACUGAAUGGAGGCCCGAACCCACGCACGUUGAAAAGUGCGGGGAUGAGGUGUGGGUAGGGGUGAAAUGCCAAUCGAACCUGGAGAUAGCUGGUUCUCUCCGAAAUAGCUUUAGGGCUAGCCUCAAGGUAAGAGUCUUGGAGGUAGAGCACUGAUUGGACUAGGGGCCCCUACCGGGUUACCGAAUUCAGUCAAACUCCGAAUGCCAAUGACUUAUCCUUGGGAGUCAGACUGCGAGUGAUAAGAUCCGUAGUCGAAAGGGAAACAGCCCAGACCGCCAGCUAAGGUCCCAAAGUAUACGUUAAGUGGAAAAGGAUGUGGAGUUGCUUAGACAACCAGGAUGUUGGCUUAGAAGCAGCCACCAUUUAAAGAGUGCGUAAUAGCUCACUGGUCGAGUGACUCUGCGCCGAAAAUGUACCGGGGCUAAACGUAUCACCGAAGCUGCGGACUGUUCUUCGAACAGUGGUAGGAGAGCGUUCUAAGGGCUGUGAAGCCAGACCGGAAGGACUGGUGGAGCGCUUAGAAGUGAGAAUGCCGGUAUGAGUAGCGAAAGAGGGGUGAGAAUCCCCUCCACCGAAUGCCUAAGGUUUCCUGAGGAAGGCUCGUCCGCUCAGGGUUAGUCGGGACCUAAGCCGAGGCCGAAAGGCGUAGGCGAUGGACAACAGGUUGAUAUUCCUGUACCACCUCCUCACCAUUUGAGNNNNNNNNNNNNNNNNNNAAGGCUGAGCUGUGAUGGCGAGCGAAAUAUAGUAGCGAAGUUCCUGAUUCCACACUGCCAAGAAAAGCCUCUAGCGAGGUGAGAGGUGCCCGUACCGCAAACCGACACAGGUAGGCGAGGAGAGAAUCCUAAGGUGAUCGAGAGAACUCUCGUUAAGGAACUCGGCAAAAUGACCCCGUAACUUCGGGAGAAGGGGUGCUCUGUUAGGGUGCAAGCCCGAGAGAGCCGCAGUGAAUAGGCCCAGGCGACUGUUUAGCAAAAACACAGGUCUCUGCGAAGCCGUAAGGCGAAGUAUAGGGGCUGACGCCUGCCCGGUGCUGGAAGGUUAAGAGGAGCGCUUAGCGUAAGCGAAGGUGCGAAUUGAAGCCCCAGUAAACGGCGGCCGUAACUAUAACGGUCCUAAGGUAGCGAAAUUCCUUGUCGGGUAAGUUCCGACCCGCACGAAAGGCGCAACGAUCUGGGCACUGUCUCAACGAGAGACUCGGUGAAAUUAUAGUACCUGUGAAGAUGCAGGUUACCCGCGACAGGACGGAAAGACCCCGUGGAGCUUUACUGCAGCCUGAUAUUGAAUGUUGGUACAGCUUGUACAGGAUAGGUAGGAGCCUUGGAAACCGGAGCGCCAGCUUCGGUGGAGGCAUCGGUGGGAUACUACCCUGGCUGUAUUGACCUUCUAACCCGCCGCCCUUAUCGGGCGGGGAGACAGUGUCAGGUGGGCAGUUUGACUGGGGCGGUCGCCUCCUAAAAGGUAACGGAGGCGCCCAAAGGUUCCCUCAGAAUGGUUGGAAAUCAUUCGCAGAGUGUAAAGGCACAAGGGAGCUUGACUGCGAGACCUACAAGUCGAGCAGGGACGAAAGUCGGGCUUAGUGAUCCGGUGGUUCCGCAUGGAAGGGCCAUCGCUCAACGGAUAAAAGCUACCCCGGGGAUAACAGGCUUAUCUCCCCCAAGAGUCCACAUCGACGGGGAGGUUUGGCACCUCGAUGUCGGCUCAUCGCAUCCUGGGGCUGUAGUCGGUCCCAAGGGUUGGGCUGUUCGCCCAUUAAAGCGGUACGCGAGCUGGGUUCAGAACGUCGUGAGACAGUUCGGUCCCUAUCCGUCGCGGGCGCAGGAAAUUUGAGAGGAGCUGUCCUUAGUACGAGAGGACCGGGAUGGACGCACCGCUGGUGUACCAGUUGUUCUGCCAAGGGCAUCGCUGGGUAGCUAUGUGCGGACGGGAUAAGUGCUGAAAGCAUCUAAGCAUGAAGCCCCCCUCAAGAUGAGAUUUCCCAUUCCGCAAGGAAGUAAGAUCCCUGAAAGAUGAUCAGGUUGAUAGGUCUGAGGUGGAAGUGUGGCGACACAUGGAGCUGACAGAUACUAAUCGAUCGAGGACUUAACC
rnacentral:rRNA from 1 species